rnacentral:rRNA from 1 species
ACAUUCGAUUAGGUAGUUGGAAGGGUAGAAGCCUCCCAAGCCGACGAUCGAUAGUCAAGUUUGACAGAACAGAUGACCACAUUGGGAAUGAAAUAUCCCAAGUAGCAUUAAGCUACCAGCAGUCAAGAAUAUUAGUCAAUGCUCGCAAGAGUGAACUAGCUAACUGAAAUCAAAGGUGUGUCACUUUUGAUAAGGUAAAGGAAAAUAAUGAUACUACUUUACUAUUAGUGUCGUCCAAGUACUCGUGCCAGAAGACUCGGUAAGGCGAGAGACGCAAACGUUAGUCGUCUUGAUCAGGCGUAAAGGGUUUGUAGGCGGCUUUAAGAAUGGAUUCUUUCUAAAUAACAUUACUUUUGAGUAACACAGAAAGAAAAAAUCAAUUAAAGCUAGAAUCAAAUAGAGGUCAAAUUAAAUAAUACUUGGUGUAAGAUUGGUAUCUUUAAAAACCAAGCGGAAUACUAACGGCGAAGGCUUUUUUCCAUUAAUGAUUGACGCUGAGAAACUAAGGUGAGGACAGAAAAAAGGAUUAGAGACCCUCGUAUUCCUCACUGUCAACGAUGAAUGGUAGUUACUAGAUAUAAUUUAAAUGAAUAUACAUACUUCUUCUUUAAAUCAUCAAAUCUAGAGACGAUGUUAACACGAAAACCAUUCCGCCUUGUGAGUACGACUGCAAAGUUGAAAACAAAAAAAUUAGUCGGUUUCGGAGCAAACGAAGUGAAGCAUGUUAUUUAAUACGAUACCCCGCGUAAAAUCUUACCAGUCCUUGCAUAAAACUUUUAUUAUGAAAAAUGAUUUUGUAAGAGAUUUAACUAUGGUUUUUGACUAUAGCCUAAAUCAACUUAUAUUCUCAUU